UUUUGUAGUAGUAUUGGAGGCACGUGGAGGGCAAGGUAAUCCGAAAAGAUGGAAUAAGGAGAAAAACUGACCUUUAGAUGUGAAAUUUGCGCACUGUCUGUCAUCUGCUAUACGUUUGGUCUUGUUCAAAGGGCAUGGUUUACAGCUGUUUGGUUUGUAUUCGUAGUUUAAAGGAUGUCUUCGGGGAUACUGGGAGUCAAACGACUAGUCAGGCUAUCCCGACCACCCGCCCCGUCAUCAACGAUGUGAUUAUUCAAGAUUAUUAUUCUACAACACCAGGAGGGACACUCUUCAGUAUGACCCCUGGAGCCACCUGAAUCAUCUACCACAGGAAGUUCCUCCCUGAGUGUCGAACCGCCCCUCUGGCGCGCACCACUCCCUGCCGCCCUGAUAUCCCAGGGGUAACCAGCCCCCUCUCAGACAACACAACCACUGACACAGCCCACCCUAAACAGACCCCCCAACAACCUCAUUCCACCACCAGACAAGAGUGCAGGGAAGGAUGCUCAAUUUGAAAUGGACAUUUAGCCAUUUGAUGGAUCUGCUGGAGUAUUGCAGCCUUGAGGAUAACAAGGAACGUGUGUUUUGCUGUGUGUUUUAAGCUGUCUCCUUCGUUUAAUGAACACAGCUUAUAAAAGGGAUGAAGAGAUUGCCUCCUAGUGCUGCAUUAUUUAUCUGCAGGCAUAAAUCUAAUCGCUCAGGAAAAGAAAACACGAACAUGCAAUAUUUCAUCACUCCUCCGUCCAUUGAUUUGAUGUUAUUUACUCAUUGUCCUGUCUGAAGGAUAAAGCCUUUGGAUUAUGUUUUAGUGUUCUCCAAUAGAAUUUUGUAUACCCCAAUGGCAUUCUCAGAAUUUGUUGCGGUUAAGUAUUGGUGCAGGCCAGGGGUGGUCAACUUUGAUGGGCUACAAAAAUGGGGACUCAUCAUGGGGGGGGACACAGUGGCUCACGGGUCUGCAUACCCACACAUUCAGUUAGAGCCGGCCCUAGCAGAAUCUGUUGUAUCCCUUCCAGCCUCCUCGCCCACAUUUUUUUUGUUUGUUUCAGUUCUAAAGCAAGUUGGCUGCAAUUCUACACAUUUUGCCAUGGGGCAGAGAGAAAAAUGAGCAGUUUUACAGCAAAUUUCCUACAAUUCUACACAUUUUGCCAUGGGGCAGAGAGAAACAUGAGCAGUUUUACAGCUAAUUUCCUACAAUUCUACACAUUUUGCCAUAGGGUGGAAACAAAUGUUUACAGUUUUUAAUAUGAUAUCUGAUGAUCAAUGGGGGCCCACUGGUCGGUAAUUCGACCAUGAUUACUACAAGUUUAGAUAGUUUUUGACCUUUGUGUAUUCUACCAUUCUAACUCUCAACAGUAAGUUGAGAACCUAAGUUAGUUCCUAAAAAUGUAUUCGUAGGCCUACAAAAGGGCCAGUUGCCCAUCCCUGGUGUAGGCUAAUAUGUUGAUGGAAAAACUAGGGCUGCAUUCUGCUUCAUAUUUUUCCAGAGGAACUGAAGCUGAAUAAUAACAUCAAAAAAAUAUCUUUGUCAUCCAUUUUUAUUUCAUCCUUGCGUGUUCUCUCUACUAUUACGUGUUGAGAGAAUAUACCAUAGAAGCGGACUGCAAUUAAUUGAGGAUUUAUUAAACAAACAUACUUCGGUCCUUUAAAAAAAAUACAUUACUCUUAUGAAAUAUUUACAUUUUAAAAUAAUACUGUAUCAACACUGGGUCAUACAGAGGAAUUAAAGCCCUUA